rnacentral:rRNA from 1 species
GAAUAUUGGACAAUGGGGGGAACCCUGAUCCAGCCAUGCCGCGUGUGUGAAGAAGGCCUUUUGGUUGUAAACACUUUAAGCGGGGAGGAGGGCACUCUAGUUAAUUCCUUGGGAUAGUUGACGUUUCUCGCAGAAAAAGCACCGGCCAACCUCGUGCCAGCCGCCGCGGUAAUACAGAGGGUGCAAGCGUUAAUCGGAUUUACUGGGCGUAAAGCGCGCGUAGGUGGCCAAUUAAGUCAAAUGUGAAAUCCCCGAGCUUAACUUGGGAAUUACAUUCGAUACUGGUUGGCUAGAGUAUGGGAGAGGAUGGUAGAAUUCCAGGUGUAGCGGUGAAAUGCGUAGAGAUCUGGAGGAAUACCGAUGGCGAAGGCAGCCAUCUGGCCUAAUACUGACACUGAGGUGCGAAAGCAUGGGGAGCAAACA